GUAAAAUAUCCAACAACUGGUUUCUUUCCUGCUAUCGGAAUAAGAAGUGAAGGUGCCACAGUUAGAUUACACUUAAAUGCACAAUCGAACGAGAUAGUCGGAAUAGCAAUAGACGAAACUGACCAAAUUACAAAACAGAUGGAGGUAUCACAGAAGGAUGCAUUUUUAGACGGAAGUUUCUUCAAGGCAACACGUAAACAGAAUAUUCUGACGUCUGCACUUAAAAAUAAUAUACAGGAAAACCCGACUGCUCCUGAUGCUGGGUGGGAAUAUUAUGAAUUAAAAAGAUCGUAUGACACACUGCAGUCGGUCCAUUCAGAUAAACGAGAGGAAAAUGAACAGCUGUUCGAUUUUUAAAACCUUUGAAAAAAGAAUGACGAAUACCAAUUUUCAUCGAUGAUGUGAAGAAUAAAUUUUAUGGACAAAGAUGGAUUUUUUUUAAAUGAUGGACUCAAUUGACG